CCGUGAACCUCUGCCAUGCAUAAAACCGGGGAAUUACAGGAGGCAUAAAUAGGUUCGAAUUUGCCUUCAACUGCGGCUAAGGUAAAAAAAACCAGAAAGUAAACGCACAGCGACUAAGGUGACACAAGCCCCCUUAAAAAAGGCUGAGCUAAAGCUAAAACUGUAGACAGUCGGGCUUAUCGUCUCUAUAAAUAUUCAACAACUUGGAGACGUUGUUUUGUUGUAAGCUGGGCAUAUAUGUAUGUGCAUAUAAGCCACAGUAUUUAGUCGCACCGUGUGUUUGCCAUUGCGCAUACUUAACCCUUUGGGGUUAAGUUAAACAUUACGAUUACGUUUCACAUCGCUUAAAUUUGUGCGCGUUUCCUUUGUUUUUACUCGCUAUUUACUCGCAUUUUUGAUUUAUCGGUAACCCUAUCGUUUCAAUUGUAACUUCAAUUCCAUCUUCGACGGUUGCAGCAGGCGGCACAGUGCUUAUCGUUUGAAAAGCGUUCUUAUCAAGGCCAUGGCGUUCUAUUUAUAAUACCACCACAGGUCUGUCAAAAUCGGACAUGAAUUGGCCACCACCAGUGGCACGUGUUCAAUGUCUUUUCGAGCUGUUUGCUAUACUAUUUACUUAAUAAAGUAUUAUUACCUUCAUAAGCUGCACUACCAACUAUCAAUCAGUAGCAAGUUAUGGAAAACGUCAUUAUGACAGUACAAAAAAUAUUUCAACUUAUAUAAGUAAAUUUAAAAAUUUAUAUAUUAUUGAGUUCAGCUUUUUGUCACAUGUUUAGAGAGAGGAUCUUAUAUCUAUAUAUGCUUUAUCUAAGUUACUGCAAUUGCAAACUUACCGGGGUCGUGCAACUCCUGCUCCAUCUUCUCCACCUUGUUCACCUUCAUUAACUGCUGGUCAUCCGUGACACUCAGAUCCUGCGGAUGCUUCAUCAUGCUUCAUAACCAGUAUUUUUACUUUUUAUUUACAAGUGGGUCGGGAAGAUCCAAUCACAUAGUAAUGAAGUAAUGACCGGCAACUGUAAGUGGAAAAGGCAAUCGAUAAGCUGUCGUAUUUCAAUCUACUACUGGCUAAAACAACAGAAGGCGGGCCGAACAUAUUAAAUUUUUAAUGAUGACCCGCUAAUCGAGCGAAGUAUCACCUGUAAAUCUACAAAACGGUAUAUACAAAAUGGCUAUUUGUCGUUUGUGCACACAAUGUAGGUGUCAACUCGAGUGGCCGACAACCAAACGCUUCACAUUACAUUUCCCCCAUCAGAUAUUUUUGGUGGGGGGGGAGGUGUCAUUUUGUUUUACGAUCCCAUAUCAGCAAUAUGCCCGACACACACCUGUACUAGGGAUAGUAAUACUUUUAUAAAGCAAAGCUCUACGUACACUCCCCCUUCGAAUAUCAAAACAGUCCAAAAGGUAACACGUACACGUAAAGCUCCAAAAAAUACCAGAAAUCAUAAUCUUCAAUGCUUUAUUGACUAGCAGAUAAAAAACACUCAUUCUCGCAAAAUAAAAAAGGGAAAAAAAAACAGGUAAAAAAAGAGAAUUGACUGUUUGCGAUAACGCGAAAACAGAAUUUCUGUUUAUCGGCCCUUUAUUGUUUCUCAUCAUUAUGCGAGUUUUUGCGAUUUUCGGUCGAGUGCCAGAAAGGCCGAUAAGCCCCAUGGACUGUAUGGGUUCUAUUGCACUGGGUACCUCUGUAUCACUCUUUGAUUUCUCCCUCUUAUCGCUUAUCAGGGGGCAGCUGACGUAGACCCCCUCGUUUGCAUUGUCAAUUCGUGACCUUUGAACCCCGGUGACUUUCACGAUUCGCCGAAAUGGCGCCGAAAACAACACAAAUAGAACUCUUUUAUAAGCUUAUAAAUUUCCGGGAAAAAGCUGAUAUACUUUGUUUACCUUAAUACUCCGAUUCUAUUAAAUAACAAUCUAAGUAUAGGU
ensembl:ncRNA asRNA:CR44992 antisense RNA:CR44992